GAUGAAGAACGUAGCGAAAUGCGAUAACUAGUGUGAAUUGCAGAAUUCCGUGAAUCAUCGAGUCUUUGAACGCACAUUGCGCCCCCUGGUAUUCCGGGGGGCAUGCCUGUCCGAGCGUCAUUGCUGCCCAUCAAGCACGGCUUGUGUGUUGGGUCGUCGUCCCCCCCUCCGGGGGGGGACGGGCCCUAAAGGCAGCGGCGGCACCGCGUCCGAUCCUCGAGCGUAUGGGGCUUUGUCACCCGCUCUGUAGGCCCGGCCGGCGCUUGCCGAACGCAAAACAACCAUUCUUUCCAGGUUGACCUCGGAUCAGGUAGGGAUACCCGCUGAACUUAAGCAUAUCAAUAAGCGGGGGA
rnacentral:misc_RNA from 1 species